rnacentral:rRNA from 1 species
UGGGGAAUAUUGGACAAUGGGCGCAAGCCUGAUCCAGCCAUGCCGCGUGAGUGAUGAAGGCCUUAGGGUUGUAAAGCUCUUUUGUCCGGGAAGAUAAUGACUGUACCGGAAGAAUAAGCCCCGGCUAACUUCGUGCCAGCAGCCGCGGUAAUACGAAGGGGGCUAGCGUUGCUCGGAAUCACUGGGCGUAAAGGGCGCGUAGGCGGACUUUUAAGUCGGAGGUGAAAGCCCAGGGCUCAACCCUGGAAUUGCCUUCGAUACUGGGAGUCUUGAGUUCGGAAAAGGUUGGUGGAACUGCGAGUGUAGAGGUGAAAUACGUAGAUAUUCGCAAGAACACCGGUGGCGAAGGCGGCCAACUGGUCCGAAACUGACGCUGAGGCGCGAAAGCGUGGGGAGCAAACAGG